UGGAACAGGCCUGUGGAUUUGCCUGCACAGACGACGAGAUAUCCGGACUAAGUCGCUACUCGGGACUCGGGAUUUGUACCUUUCCUGGAGGUGAGAGUGGUGGUGGUCUUUUUUUUUUUUCUUUCUUUUCGCUUUUGGGAAGUACUCAGGAAUCGUUUUCCUCCAGGCACGUCCUUGAUUCGAUCCCAGCGCUGCUGCUGCUACUCCCCUGCGCUCCUCUGGUGGAGUUUGAAGAAGAGAUAAGCAAGCGUUGUGGAGGUAAAUUCAAGGGAGUGAUGGGGAAAGGAAAAGAGGGAGAGUGGUGGAUUUGGCCGCGAAUGCUAAGCACGGGGUCCUUAUAAUGCCCCUCUUCUCUCUCGUUAAGUUCUUUUCCUCGCUCCACUCACUUUGCAAUCAAUUGCAGGCACCAAAGCUGGCUGGCCAUGGCUGGUGGGGCUCAUCAAAGUGUGUUGGAGAAGACAGGCAAAAGAGAAGAUGGAUGGGGGCCAAAAGAGAAAGAAAAAAAGUUUAGAACAAGCCAGCAGCACUGAGCAACAGCACCAACACACACUACUACUUACACGGCCAGCGAAGUCAAUGGGUGGAAUUAAUGUGAGGGGAUUGAUUCGCUCAUCGUCUUCUCCCCAGGAAUUUCUUAUAAGCGCGACGACCUGCGUUUGUUCGUAGUUGGUGGUGUUGUUGCGCGGGCAUUGAAUGCCACAAAGGGAUCUUCGCGUUGACUUCUCCGUCAAUGGUGGUCAAAAUUGGUCAAUGCCCUAGCCCCGAGUAAUUUCUCGUGGACGCGUUGACUCCUCUGGUC
rnacentral:lncRNA from 1 species